rfam:Proteiniborus sp. DW1 genome assembly, contig: DW1_contig7
GCGGGAGUGGCGGAACUGGCAGACGCGCUAGACUUAGGAUCUAGUGUCAUAGACGUGGGGGUUCAAGUCCUCUCUCCCGCA